GGAACACCUGGAAAAGGUAUCC
rnacentral:siRNA from 1 species